AAGUAGUGAAGUAAUAAAUUACAUUUAGUUUUGACCUAAAAAUAGAGUAAUACUCCUUACUUU
rnacentral:tRNA from 1 species